GGGCCCAGGCCUGAGGUGGGCUGGGAAAAAGCUCACUGAGAUGGUAGGCUCUAAGAGAGCAGCCUGAGCUCUGGGCGAGAGAGAAGAGGAAAGAGCCAUAGUACAUCACAGCACCGUAGAUCAGCAUCAGCUGCAAGUUCUAGCAGGCCUCCCCCACCCCUGCUUGCUGCUGAUUGAGGCAAUCUGUGGGAUAAAGGAGGGCUGGAGGAGGAAAAUCCCGCUGUACUUGAGCUGUGAUUUGGUGGGCAGCAGGCCACUGCAGGAGAGCAGCACAGGCUGGCACUGCACAGAGCCCAGGUCAGGGCUUGCACAAAGGCAACCAAGCUGGAGAAGAGCCACAAGCCCCAUGCCUGUCUGCCACUGGUAGUUUAUGCCUUUCAAACCCAGUUUUUCUCUCCAAAAACUGUGUUCUCCUUGUAGUCCUCGGCACUACUGGGCUGAAGGCAUCUGCCAACAAUGCCUCCUCCAAGGCAUGAUGCUCUGUCACUGCUGCUGCAUGGUGUGACACAUCCCUUUGGAUACCAGAGCUGUGCUGACAUGUGAGCUGGAAGCUGGGCUGUCUGCUUUGAGAUGCACAGAGCGUGCUGAGCGUGGCUCUGAGCCUCCCUACUGGGGUGUAUCUGUUUGUGAUGCUGGAACCUGCACCAAAACCUUCCAAAGUCCCUUGCUGCAGAAGUGAUGGACCCCGUGCUGCUGUGGGCUGUGCAUUGGGUUUCACAUCCAUCUGAACCAGAUGUUGGAAGCACGGGUGGCCCUGGAUCCUGAGGCCAUUAUGUUUAGGGAGUUUUCGAACAGUGGCAUCAGGAGACAUCGGUGAAGCCUGUAGGGUGGACCAGCCUGCAGUUUGGCCGAGCCUGUGAGAUGACACGCUGCUUCACACGUUUUAACCCACGAAAAUGUGUGCAAGAUGCAAAGGGGACGGAAAGGAGAGCAGUUCUCUGCGGAUCUGUGUAGUUACAGUGGGACAAAAUAAUUGAAGCAAUAUCAAUUGCUUUAAUGAAACUGCAUUUUCUCUCUGUUUCAGAACAGUGGCAGCUGCACGAGCUUUAUCCCACGCCCACCAAAGUCAAUAGAAAGAUCCUAUUGAUUUCAGCGGGGUUUGAAUCUUACUUAAUGAGAACUUCACUAAAGGCAACUUGCACAUGUCCAGAGUGAUGUUGUAAGGGAAACCGCUUUCUGCUGUGCAUUUUAAAACGGGUCACUUUGGUGAGGAAUGCUGAUUCCUAGAAAGCUGUCCUUGUCUUAAUUUAUCUGUGCGUGUGGGUAGGGUUCUUCAACCCACGGGUCACAAAGCAGUCCGCCAGUUACAGCAGUUGACUGACCUGUAAAAAACCAUACUAAUAAAAAGAUCUGGUUGGAAUAAGUGGAAUAAAAUGACCUUUAGGAAUGGAUGUGUUCGAGUUUCUGACAGUGACCUUUGCUCACUCGCACUGUGCUUCAGGUGUGGUUUGUGGAGUGCUGUUUGCUUUCACUGUCCUGAUGUUCCUCGCUUUUUUCUGUAACUCAUUCCUGAUGCUGUUGCCUAAUGAAAUGAGCUCCCUAAUAAUUAUUGGGUAACCUAUAAAGUGCAUCUACAUUUAUAUGUGGGAAACCUUAUCUUAAAAUCUACCUUCAUUAAGACUUGACAAAAUGCAGUGAACUAAUGCUUGCAAGUAAAAUUUAUUCCAGGUAGAAUUUCUUAAAAUUGGGCUUUUUUAAUAUCAGUGGUAAUAGAUGGAAUAUCUUAGAUUGUCCUUAGCAGAAAUUGUUCAAGAUGCAUAAGCCAAAAUUGUUUUUC